UCGUGACCCUGACCAAAACAGACCGCGCACGAGUUAUCUAGCCUGCUGGGCGGCGGCAUCGUCUGUCGCUUGGCAAAAGUCCUCGACAACCUCAUCUUUUCGGAGUUGGGGCUCGGGGUAAAAGAACCCACGGCGCCGAAGGCGUCAAGGAACACUGUGCCUAACGAGGGGAUGUGGCUGGCUUGCUAGCCGCACCCCGAGUUGCAAUUCUAUAUAAUC
rnacentral:misc_RNA from 1 species